rnacentral:rRNA from 1 species
GACGAACGCUGGAGGCGUGCUUAACACAUGCAAGUCGAACGAUGAAAUGGAGCUUGCUCCAUGGAUUAGUGGCGAACGGGUGAGUAACACGUGAAUAACCUGCCCUUAAUUUUGGAAUAACCCAGGGAAACCUGGGCUAAUACCGGAUAAGUAAACCUGUGGCAUCACAUGGUUUUGGAAAGUUUUUCGAUUAAGGAUGGAUUCGCGGCCUAUCAGCUUGUUGGUGAGGUAAUGGCUCACCAAGGCGACGACGGGUAGCCGGCCUGAGAGGGUGAACGGCCACACUGGGACCGAGACACGGCCCAGGCUCCUACGGGAGGCAGCAGUGGGGAAUAUUGCGCAAUGGACGAAAGUCUGACGCAGCGACGCCUCGUGAGGGACGAAGGUCUUCGGAUUGUAAACCUCUUUCAGCAGGGACGAAGCGAAAGUGACGGUACCUGCAGAAGAAGCACCGGCUAACUAUGUGCCAGCCGCCGCUGUAA